UACAGAGGUCUCAAGCGUUGUUCGGAUUCAUUGGGCGUAAAGGGUGCGUAGGCGGCGCGGUAAGUCGGGUGUGAAAUCUCGGAGCUUAACUCCGAAACUGCAUUCGAUACUGCCGUGCUUGAGGACUGGAGAGGAGACUGGAAUUUACGGUGUAGCGGUGAAAUGCGUAGAUAUCAGGAGGAACACCUGUGGUGUAGACAGCUUACUGGACCACGACUGACGCUGAGACACGAAAGCGUGGGGGAGCAAACAGG
rnacentral:rRNA from 1 species